rnacentral:rRNA from 1 species
AGUGAACGCUGGCGGUAGGCCUAACACAUGCAAGUCGAACGGCAGCACAGUAAGAGCUUGCUCUUACGGGUGGCGAGUGGCGGACGGGUGAGGAAUACAUCGGAAUCUACUUUUUCGUGGGGGAUAACGUAGGGAAACUUACGCUAAUACCGCAUACGACCUACGGGUGAAAGCAGGGGAUCUUCGGACCUUGCGCGAUUGAAUGAGCCGAUGUCGGAUUAGCUAGUUGGCGGGGUAAAGGCCCACCAAGGCGACGAUCCGUAGCUGGUCUGAGAGGAUGAUCGGCCACACUGAACCUGAGACACGGUCCAGACUCCUACGGGAGGCAGCGGUGGGGAAUAUUGGACAAUGGGCGCAAGCCUGAUCCAGCCAUACCGCGUGGGUGAAGAAGGCCUUCGGGUUGUAAAGCCCUUUUGUUGGGAAAGAAAAGCAGCAGGUUAAUACCCCGCUGUUCUGACGGUACCCAAAGAAUAAGCACCGGCGACCUUCGU